rnacentral:rRNA from 1 species
UACGUAGGGUGCAAGCGUUGUCCGGAAUUAUUGGGGGUAAAGAGCUCGUAGGCGGUUUGUCGCGUCUGCUGUGAAAACCCGAGGCUCAACCUCGGGCCUGCAGUGGGUACGGGCAGACUAGAGUGCGGUAGGGGAGAUUGGAAUUCCUGGUGUAGCGGUGGAAUGCGCAGAUAUCAGGAGGAACACCAAUGGCGAAGGCAGAUCUCUGGGCCGUAACUGACGCUGAGGAGCGAAAGCAUGGGGAGCGAACAGG